GCGCCUUGGCAGAGUCCCGCAGGUGUGAGCUUGCUUUCGUGGGUCUCUUAGGUGGACACCGCCGCCGCCGCCGCCCGCGGCCCUGAGGGCUUGGCAUGCGGAGCUGCUGUGGAGCCUUAACUGAAAGAAGCCGAGAGUGCCGGAGAAGCACGGCCGUGACCCGGGACGGACUUGCUCCUUCAUCUUCAAGAAUCCCAAGCGCUGCGGAGAGGAAAAGACGCAGCAGUGACCGUGGAGGCGGGGCUUCAGCCGGGCCCCCGGUUUGUCGGCGCCGCGGACUCGGACACCCCCACGCCACCUUCCCGCUUCGACCCCCGCCCCCGGGGCGCCAGCUUUGGCCCCGCAGCAUCUCGCGCCAGCGGACUGCACGCCGAGGCUGGUGGCUGCCGAGGUUUACAAGGCGGUGUCGCCAGCCAAAGCAGGUGUUAGGAGUGUGGCCUCGGUCAUUCCGGGUCGAAGUCAUAUCCUAGCCGUGUGACCUCGUGAAGCCGGAGUUGCCUCCUUGGUAAACUAGGGAGGGUAGUCAGAGAUUCAUAGCCCCGGCCACCUUGACGCUGAGCCCGGGAGAUGAUGGACCCAUUGUGUAAGAUGCGCCCGGCGUCAGUUUCCCACUAUAUACAGACACACAGAAAAGGGGAGUCAACUUCUCUCUGAAGGAUCACUGGAAGUCUUACAAGAAUAAAUAUCUUUUCUGAAGA